rnacentral:rRNA from 1 species
UACGUAGGGGGCAAGCGUUGUCCGGAUUUAUUGGGCGUAAAGCGCUCGCAGGUGGUCCGAUGCGUCGUGCGUGAAAGACCCCGGCUCAACUGGGGAGGGUCGUGCGAUACGGUCGGACUGGAGGCCAGUAGGGGGAUGCGGAAUUCCGGGUGUAGUGGUGGAAUGCGUAGAGAUCCGGAGGAACACCAGCGGCGAAGGCGGCAUCCUGGACUGGUCCUGACACUCAUGAGCGAAAGCGUGGGGAGCGAUCCGG